rnacentral:lncRNA from 1 species
AUGGGUGACACCAGAUCAUCCUGGCAUGGUUGUGACCUCAGCUGCUGCAGAGGCAGUAUCAAAUGGAUGAAAGACCCAGUUAGAAAAACAUCACAGCUGGGACAAGUUAGAUUUUUUGACCACAACUUCCACAAUACAUCCAGCCUGGCUGUAUCCAAUCUCAAAGCUGAAGUCCCAAAAAACCUCACCCCAAAACAAGCGAAGCAAACAUAAAAACAAACAAACAGAAAUAAUACCCCUCCACAUGUCUUUUUUCUAAAGUUCUGGAGAGCUCCAUCCUGUGAUUUAAUUCCUAUGUUUUCCUUGCUCUCUUGGGGGCAGGUGGGAAUUUCCUGUGAUUUUAUUCAAAUGUCCCAAAAUUUGCAAAAUGUCAGUAUUCAAGAAAAGCAAACAAACAAACAAACAAACAGAUUUGCCCGUCUUGUUAGGGAGAUAUGAGAACUUCCUCGCAGAACAUUUCUGAGCAGACAGUAGAAGUGAAGAUUAUUGUAAGAUGAUAAUGUUCAGCAAAAUGAAAGGCAACUGGAAAAAAACCCACUAUAUGUGGAUGUAUUCAAAAAAGGAAGCCACAGCUUUGAGUCUGGAAGACCUGGUAUUGGUAACUGAGUCUUUUGGAGAUCUCUCAUGCAAGAGUUGAAGUUGACCUGAUGUCAAACAAGCACAGUCAAGGGAAGAAGGCAUUUUCUAAUGAAUGCACAUCUCUGAUCUGCAUGUUAUGUCCCCCACAAGAAGAGACAUAGGUGAUGUGGAAAAGAUUUUUUUAUAUAAUCUACUCAACUGCUAUGUUGAAUUGAGAAAGGAAGAAACAUAUGGACAAUUUUAAGGGUAUGGGAAAUUGGUGAAGAAAAAGGACAGUAUAGUAGUUUUCCAUUAGGAAGGAAAUGUUUAUUCAUUAAAAAAAAACAAAGUUCCACAAAUAUUAAACCAAAGCUCAUCAUUUCUUCCUUGCAGCAUUAAGUGGGCCAUAUAUUUUAAGUUUCAUCUGAAAAGCAAUCUACUGCAGUAAAUUUCAAAGUAAACACUGUAAAUCUUGAUAAAAGUAAAUCUAUUUAUAACAAAUGCUGGUUUUUUUUCUCUCUCUCUCUUUUUUUUUUAAAGUUGUACUUUGUUUAUCUAAAAGAGAAGAAUGAAAGUUUCCCAGGAAUGGCUAGGACCAGUAUAAAUAUUAAAUA